rfam:Oryza sativa Japonica Group DNA, chromosome 10, cultivar: Nipponbare, complete sequence.
AAUAAACCCUGGGUUUCUAUGUCCAACAUUUGACCGUCCGUCUUAUUUAAAAAAAUUAUGAAAAAAAUUAAAAAGAUAAGUCACGCAUAAAGUAUUAAUCAUGUUUUAUCAUCUAACAACAAUGAAAAUACUAAUUAUAAAAAAAUUUCAUAUAAAACAGACGGUGAAAUGUUGGACACGGAAAUUUAGUGUUUGUUUUUUU